CAACAACUUAGAAUUUAUAUUUUAUACGUCUUACAAGUUACAGCCAGUACAAAUCGCAAAAAACAAAUAACAGACGGACACACAGAGCAAAAGACAGAAUACGUACACAUAAUAAUUAAAACGCUUGCAUGAUGCUACUGUAUAUAUAUAUGUAUAUAUAUAAAUAUAAAAUAUAGUACGUAAUAGUAGCGCCUAUAAUUAAAUAAGUAAGGAGAUUAUGAUAUGGUGAGUUAAUCCGUAUGCGUCUUGUUGAUUAGCAUCCGACAGUGAACCACCUCCUUCCUGCCUUCCUGCGCUCCGCCUUCCUCUUCUCCUUCUCACACGCACACUUCGCCUCCUUCAGGCUCUGUUUAAUUUCAGACAGUUUUUGUUUCAGAUGAAAUGCAGGGGUAGUACUCCAUCCAUUCUAAAAUACGAGGGCUUGUUCGGUUUAGAAAGUUUAUAAUUCAUAUGAGUAGAAAAUGUAGAUGAAUAGAAAUACAUGCACACAUCGAUUUAGAUGUAUUUUUUCUAGAGUUUGGAGCAUAUGGAAAACUUUCUAUGUUUGAUCUCUAAAACUUAUAGGAAAGAAAAGUUUUUUUUUUUGGUUUGGGUAUAUUGCACUACUACAAACCGGAUGGUUUCGUAGAAAUUUCAUAGGAACCAAAACACAUUGUUUUCCCUCCAAACUAAGCAGGGUCUAAAGUUCAAAAUUUAUAUCGUAAUGUUAGCAUUUAUAUGAUGAUUCUAUGAUCUCUCCAAUUAUAAUGUUCAUACAACCAAUCUGGUACAUGUAACGAGAAUCUAACCAAUUUAAAAUUUAAAUUUGACCGCGGACCUAACCAAAAGACAGUAUUUUCUAAACCUUAGUUUUUAAUCAACCUACACAAAUGGUUAUAUUUUGGAAUAAAGUUAUUAUACGGUAAAUACAGUAUUCAAUCUUUUCUUUGCGCAUUGGUUAUGCAAUUUUACUAGUAAUCGAGAGAUUAAUGUGCAAUACAAGUACAUAUUAAUAUUGUAAUAUGUGAUAAUUAUCACCUUGUGUGGGUUUGGUUUGGUGCGAUGAAGCUGCCGCGCACCCAGUAGCUGCGUGGCGCUCCAGCUCCCGGCGGCGCACGCCGGCGGCCGGUCCUCGCACGGCUCCGGCAGAGGCGGCUCGGACCACGCGCGGUCCUCGGCCGGNNN
rnacentral:lncRNA from 1 species